rnacentral:rRNA from 1 species
AGACGAACCGUCCAAACGUUAUUCGGAAUCACUGGGCUUAAAGGGUGCGUAGGCGGCGCGGCAAGUUGGGUGUGAAAUCCCUCGGCUCAACCGAGGAACUGCGCCCAAAACUUCCGUGCUCGAGGGAGGCAGAGGUAAGCGGAACUGAUGGUGGAGCGGUGAAAUGCGUUGAUAUCAUCAGGAACACCGGUGGCGAAAGCGGCUUACUGGGUCUCUCCUGACGCUGAGGCGCGAAAGCGUGGGGAGCAAACAGGAUUAGAAACCCUAGUAGUCC